GGAAGUAAAAGUCGUAGCAAGGUUUCCGUAGGUGAACCUGCGGAAGGAUCAUUAUUGUAUAACCGAGGUGCGAGGGCUGUCGCUGACCCGAAAGGUCGUGCACGCCCGAGUGCCCUCACACACAUCCAUCUCACCCCUAUGUGCACCACCGCGUGGGUCCCCCUUUGGCUUGUUCGGAGGGGGGCUUACGUUUUCACACAAACUUUGUAUGCAGUGUAGAAUGUAUUUUUUGUUUUUGCGAUCACGCAAUCAAUACGACUUUCAACAACGGAUCUCUUGGCUCUC
rnacentral:misc_RNA from 1 species